GAUGAACGCUAGCGGCAGGCCUAACACAUGCAAGUCGAGGGGUAACGAUUGUUUAGCUUGCUAAACAAGGCGACGACCGGCGCACGGGUGAGUAACGCGUAUGCAACCUACCUUUAACUGGGGGAUAGCCCGAAGAAAUUCGGAUUAAUACCCCAUAAUAUAUAUUUAUCACAUGGUUUAUAUAUUAAAACUCCGGUGGUUAAAGAUGGGCAUGCGUGACAUUAGGUAGUUGGUAAGGUAACGGCUUACCAAGCCUACGAUGUCUAGGGGGCCUGAGAGGGUAAUCCCCCACACUGGUACUGAGACACGGACCAGACUCCUGCGGGAGGCAGCAGUGAGGAAUAUUGGGCAAUGGGGGCAACCCUGACCCAGCCAUGCCGCGUGCAGGAAGACGGCUCUACGAGUUGUAAACUGCUUUUACACGGGAAUAAUUGCAGAUACGUGUAUCUGUUUGAAUGUACCGUAUGAAUAAGCACCGCUAAC
rnacentral:rRNA from 1 species